rnacentral:rRNA from 1 species
GAUGAACGCUAGCUACAGGCUUAACACAUGCAAGUCGAGGGGUAACGAGAGGGAAGCUUGCUUUCCUUGUCGACGACCGGCGCACGGGUGAGUAACGCGUAUCCAACCUGCCUAUAACUAGGGAAUAACCUUGCGAAAGUAAGACUAAUACCCUAUGAUUUCAUUUGAUGACAUCAGAUCAGGAAUAAAGAUUUAUCGGUUAUAGAUGGGGAUGCGUCUGAUUAGCUUGUUGGCGGGGUAACGGCCAACCAAGGCAACGAUCAGUAGGGGUUCUGAGAGGAAGGUCCCCCACAUUGGAACUGAGACACGGUCCAACUCCUACGGGAGGCAGCAGUGAGGAAUAUUGGUCAAUGGGCGGAAGCCUGAACCAGCCAAGUAGCGUGCAGGAUGACGGCCCUAUGGGUUGUAAACUGCUUUUAUACAGGAAUAAAGUUAGCCACGUGUGGUUAUUUGUAGGUACUGUAUGAAUAAGGACCGGCUAAUUCCGUGCCAGCCGCCGCAGUAA